GUUGCUGUUGGCACAGCAUUCCUGCUGCUCUAGGAGGAGAAACACCAGCCUGUUUUUCAUCUGUCCUUUGUUUCUGAUUUAUGGAUCCCUCUAAAGCAGAAGUGAAAGACUUAUUGUGAUGGCAAAAAGAUGAGUCAGUGCCCUGGGUGAGGGGAGAGCAGCAGCUGGAGACACUCACCGAAAAGCAACGCCUCGGAAACCAGAGCAGCUCUCAUGUCCAGCAGUGCCAAGAGAUGCAAUUUCUCCUCUAACAAGAACCACCAGGACACAGGGAGUGGGAGAAGGCUUCCUCAUGACCUGGCAAUUGGCUGCUGAGCGAGUAUUGCCGUGAAAAGCAGAGGAUUUGUGAACAAGCAGCGGACACGGCACAUCCUGCUCCCACCCAGCCCAUCCCGAGGAUGCUCCUGGAGCUGGACUGAGCCUGGCCUGGGUCUGGGCUCCUGGGGAACAACUUCAGAGCUGCUGCUGGUCCCUCACAGCACAGAGGCACCAGGGAAGGUGUAGAUUUGAGCCGCUCAAGCAGGAGGAAUUGCUGACUCCAAGGAGCACAUUCCCCAUCCAUCUCUGCAUCCCCUCUGAUGUUUUUGGCAUUUAUUUUGGGCAAAUAUGAGCAAAGUGGGAUCUGAAGCUGUCCCUGUCACUUCCUGACCAGGUGAAGCCUCCUGAGGCUUCACAUAAGCAGACUUGUCCCCUAAAGCUUAAGAUGGUUGAAUCACAGAUGGAUCCUUUUCCAGUUCCUUUGAAGUUCCUGAUUAAGCAGUGACUUUUCAUGUAUCUUCAACACAAAGCCAAUUCCUCAUCUGCCACAAGAGCAUCAAAUGGAAGAGGAUGUGACACCAGCCCAAACAGAAUGCCAGAAGCUUCCACAGAAAACUGUGGAAAUUCCUCUUUGAAUUCUCAGAAAAGUCAAACUUUUCAGGUUCCCUGGCUCCAGAGCAUGAAGUGGAGGCACCAUCUCCCUGCAUCCCUGGUUCCAUGAGAGCCCACUGGAUUUGCCAUUUUGCUGUGCUCUGUCUGCUCCUGCUAUAGGAAGAUCUUGGCCCUCCUUAAGUCAUACACAAGAAAUACAA